GGGGUGCUCGAGUGGCGAACGGGUGAGUAACACGUGAGUAACCUGCCCUUGACUUCGGGAUAACUUCAGGAAACUGGGGCUAAUACCGGAUAGGAGCUCCUGCUGCAUGGUGGGGGUUGGAAAGUUUCGGCGGUUGGGGAUGGACUCGCGGCUUACCAGCUUGUUGGUGGGGUAGUGGCUUACCAAGGCUUUGACGGGUAGCCGGCCUGAGAGGGUGACCGGCCACAUUGGGACUGAGAUACGGCCCAG
rnacentral:rRNA from 1 species